rnacentral:rRNA from 1 species
UACGAGGGGGGCGAGCGUUGUUCGGAAUUAUUGGGCGUAAAGGGUGCGUAGGCGGUUUGAUAAGUCACAUGUGAAAUCUUCGGGCUCAACCCGAAGUCUGCAUGCGAAACUGUCGGGCUUGAGUAUGGGAGAGGUGAGUGGAAUUUCCGGUGUAGCGGUGAAAUGCGUAGAUAUCGGAAGGAACACCUGUGGCGAAGGCGGCUCACUGGACCAUUACUGACGCUGAUGCACGAAAGCUAGGGGAGCAAACAGG